GACGGAGGGGGCUAGCGUUGUUCGGAAUGACUGGGCGUAAAGCGCGCGUAGGCGGUUCGGUGAGUUGGAUGUGAAAGCCCGGGGCUUAACCCCGGAUGUGCGUUCAAGACUGCCGAACUUGAGACCGGAAGGGGAGAGCGGAAUUCCCAGUGUAGAGGUGAAAUUCGUAGAUAUCAGGAGGAACACCGAUGGCGAAGGCAGCUCUCUGGGGCGGCCCUGACGCUGAGGCGCGAAAGCGU
rnacentral:rRNA from 1 species